UUCAAUGGUGGGCCGGGCGGGGGCAUCAAAAGAUGCGCCGGUGUCAGUGAGGCCGGUAAGGCUAACCCCGUCCGGUUCCACCACCCAU
rfam:Brenneria sp. EniD312 chromosome, whole genome shotgun sequence.